rnacentral:rRNA from 1 species
AGAGCGGGAGCCCGGAGAUGGGCACUGAGACAAGGGCCCAGGCCCUACGGGGCGCAGCAGUCGCGAAAACUUUGCAAUACACGAAAGUGUGACAGGGCUAUCCCGAGUGCCAUCCGCUGAGGAAGGCUUUUACCCAGUGUAGAAAGCUGGGAGAAUAAGGAGAGGGCA